rnacentral:rRNA from 1 species
UCUUCGGCAAUGGACGAAAAUCUGACGGAGCAACGCGGCGUGAGGGAUGAAGGUCUUCGGAUCGUAAAACUCUGUUGUCAGGGCAGAACAAGUAACGUUCGAAUAGGGCGGUACCUUGACCGUACCCAACCAGAAAGCCACGGCUAACUACGUGCCAGCAGCCGCGGUAAUACGUAGGUGGCAAGCCUUAUCCGGAAUUAUUGGGCGUAAAGCGCGCGCAGGCGGUUUCUUAAGUCUGAUGUGAAAGCCCACGGCUCAACCGUGGAGAGUCAUUGGAAACUGGGAAGCUUGAGUGCAGAAGAGGAGGGUGGAAUUCCAUGUGUAGCGGUGAAAUGCGUAGAGAUAUGGAGGAACACCAGUGGCGAAGGCGACUCUCUGGUCUGCAACUGACGCUGAGGCGCGAAAGCGUGGGGGGCGAACA